rnacentral:rRNA from 1 species
UACGUAGGGCGCAAGCGUUGUCCGGAAUUAUUGGGCGUAAAGAGCUCGUAGGUGGCUUGUCACGUCGGGUGUGAAAGCUUGGGGCUUAACUCCCAGGUCUGCAUUCGAUACGGGCUGGCUAGAGGUAGGUAGGGGAGACGGAAUUCCUGGUGUAGCGGUGAAAUGCGCAGAUAUCAGGAGGAACACCGGUGGCGAAGGCGGUUCUCUGGGCCUUACCUGACGCUGAGGAGCGAAAGCGUGGGGAGCGAACAGG